CAGUACACAGUCAACUUCACACAACUUUUGCCUAAAGUAUUUGGACACGUUGUGUAUUCUAACACUAUUGUUUCUUUUCUUAAUUUUGCAGUUUACAGAUGUUUCAAGACAGAAUUAGUAUCAAAUAUGGAAGAUAAUUUCUUGAUGAUGCCCACACCAUGUGCUUCAGAUGAGGUGGCAUGCUUUUUCACAAGGGGGUAAAUUACUCUGAAAAAAGCGUACAAACAUUUUUGGGAUUAGAAAAUCCCGGCAAUUUUUCUCUGGAUUCUGGGAUUUUUUCCCCAAAUUUAAGGGAUUUUGAGAUUUUUUCAGUUGAUUUUUUCGAAAUAUUUCCAUUAUUUUUUUCGCCGACAUUUUUUGCGACAUAUAUAAUCCGUCGGAUUAUUUUUAAAAUGAAGUAAAUCAACGAAGCGCAUUUUCAUGCCAAUUUACGAUUUAAAUGUUUAAAUUUGAUGGGAUUUCUCAAUAUUGCAAUAAUUUUGAGGAUUUUAUUGGGCUUUUUCCAAGUGUUUCAUGCAAUUUUUAGAGAUUUCUUGGGAUUUAGUAAGAUUUUAGGAUUUUUCCAAAGAAUUUUUGGGAUUUUUGGUGAAGUGUACGAAGAUUUUCAGAGUAAUUUACCCCUCGCUUUUUCAUGACCAUGGGUCCAAUCUAGUUGAACUUUAUCAAAAGGUCUUUUUUUCUUCACAGAAUGUAAUAGUUCCAUCUCUGCCAAUGAUGUGAAUUUAUAUUUGCUUUUUGAUUUCAAAAAUGAAAAUAUAUUACCAGUUUACCGCCAAGAUCUGAACUGAGGCAGUACACAGUCAACUUCACACAACUUUUGCCUAAAUGUUCCUUUGUGUAUUCUAACACUAUUGUUUCUUUUCUUAAUUUUGCAGUUUACAGAUGUUUCAAGACAGAAUUAGUAUCAAAUAUGGAAGAUAUUUUCUUGAUGAUGCCCACACCAUGUGCUUCAGAUGAGGUGGCAUGCUUUUUCACGAGGGUUUUUUAAGGCCUUGACCAUGGGUCCAAUCUAGUUGAACUUUAUCAAAAGGUCUUUUCUUCACAGAAUGUAAUAGUUCCAUCUCUGCCAAUGAUGUGAAUUUAUAUUUGCUUUUUGAUUUCAAAAAUGAAAAUAUAUUACCAGUUUACCGCCAAGAUCUGAACUGAGGCAGUACACAGUCAACUUCACACAACUUUUGCCUAAAUGUUCCUUUGUGUAUUCUAACACUAUUGUUUCUUUUCUUAAUUUUGCAGUUCACAGAUGUUUCAAGACAGAAUUAUUAUCAAAUAUGGGAGAUAUUUUCUUGAUGAUGCCCACACCAUGUGCUUGAGAUGAGGUGGCAUGCUUUUUCACGAGGGGGUAAAUUGCUCUGAAAAAAGCGUACAAAGAUUUUUGGGAUUAGAAAAUCUGGCAAUUUUUCUCGGGAUUCUGGGAUUUUCUCCCCCAAAUUUAAGGGAUUUUGGGAUUUUUUUCAGCUGAAUUUUUUUUUCGACAAAAAUAAUCCGUCAAAUUAUUUUUAAAAUGAAGUAAAUCAACGAAGGGCAUUUUCACGCCAAUUAUCAAUACAAUUUAAAUGUUUAAAUAAAGGAUUUUAUUUGGCUUUUUCCAAGUGUUUUAUGCAAUUUUUAGAGAUUUCUUGGGAUUUUUCCAAAGAUUUUUUUUUAUUUUUAAUGAAGUGCACGAAGAUUUUCAGAGUAAUUUACCCUUCGCUUUUUUAUGACCAUGGGUCCAAUCUAGUUGAACUUUAUCAAAAGGUGUUUUUUCUUCACAGAGUAAUAGUUCUCUGCCAAUGAUGUGAAUUAAUAUUUGCUAUUUGAUUUCAAAAAUGAAAAUAUAUUACCACCAAGAUCUGAGGCAGUACACAGUCAAUCAGUUUGCAAACUGGUUUGAACUUUGCAACAAAUUUGCCUGAACAUUUAGGCAACACCGGAUU
rnacentral:lncRNA from 1 species